rnacentral:lncRNA from 1 species
CAAUGGAAAUUAAGGACCUACGCAGAAAAAUAUUUAUACAACUGCUGGGGCUACUCAGAUUCCACCGGUGUGUAGGCGGGGAAAGAGGAGGAGUAAAGACUGUUUACCUCUAAGAUCCAGGACUUGGGGGUCCCUAACUUUAAAUAGUGGGGUGCACUGAUUGUUUGGGAUCCGCCUCAAGACUUCAGCCUAGGUCUACCUAGGUGAUACCUCUCAAAGACUGGAGCCAUUCUUGUGUCCAGGCCCAGGUUUGAGGCCGCGAUGACUCAACGCAGCAUCCCCUCCCCUUGCUAAACCGCGGUCUCCGCCUACCCCCAAUCAAUCUCAAGGAAGCUCUUUGGGAGCCAGGAUUCCCAGCACUUAGCUGGUGGGCAAAGGGGUUCAACCCCUUCCCCACACCCCACCUUCCCUCCUCCCAGUCUUCGGGAUUGCGGAGCUCCUGCCGGGAUCCAAGAGCAGGCUCUUGGAGGUCGAAGAAGGAUAUAACCUCCAGACCUGGAAUUUAAGACGCAAGAACCAGCCAGCAAAAGUGGCAGCCGAGCAUGCGAGGCAAGCAAUCACAGCCAACGUUCCUGGGAUCUGUGACCUAUUCAUCUUUCUAAGGGGACAGGUGUGUCAUACACUGAAGGAGAACAUAGAGUUCUGAGUCCUCAAUAGACACAUGUCAAGUACUACCUUGGAAACUGGGAAGAAACAACUUUGGACUUGACUUUGGUUUUAGGACCUUAUCGUGUGGGCAGGGGACUGCUGAUGGCUUUUUAUUAGGAAGCUAUGCAACUUGAGGUUCUACUGAAAAGGAGAAGAGGCCACUGGAGAUGGGAAGCCACGAAAACGCUCUCACUGGCAUGGAGCACAGCAAGCAGGCUAGGCUGGCUGGCUAGCGAUCUCCAUCCCAUCUAUCUUUGCCUUCUCAGCACCGGGAUUGCAUACACACCCAGAAUUCUUGGCAUGUUUCUUCAUCCUCUCCAUUUCAAGUUUUAUUUUUAUAAAAGGAAGAUAACAGUAAGAUAUCUAAUUUCAUUAAUGUUUAAUCAAGGAAGUUGUAAAGGUUUAAAUAUAUGUUCUAUUUUGAUUUAUCUCCUAGUGUGUUUCAAGUAGAACUUUCCAAGAUUUGAGGGUCAACUGUCAGCUUCACGUGUUUUAAAUUGACAUGUAUUUGUCCAGAUUUACAGAGUUCAGCAUAGCAAGUUAACGCAUGAUAUGUAAUAAAUGAUGAUCCAAUUGGGGUAUUUAGCAUUUUCAUUUCUUCAUUUAUCACUCUAUGUUCUGGGAAGCAUCAACGUCUUUUAGUUAUUUUGAAGCAUCUCAUGAAUGUUAUAGGCAACAAUUAGGUCAUUUCAGCAUGAACCAUAGGGGGGGGAAAUCCUCCUGUUUAUUGACUAUAGAUAUAUUUCUGUGGAUUGAUGCCUAUUACAUAACCUCUUUGCAGCUACACAUCCCUGUCCUUAAUGACCUGUAGUCUACUCUAUUUUAUGAAGUCAAUUGUAUUAAACCUCCAUGGUAAUUGACACCUGGAGAUUGAAAGACUGAGUCAACUCCCCAGCACUGGGGAGGUCUGAAUCCUGCCCCCCAGCAACAGCCUCAAAGAGUCAUCGUUAGAGAGCCUGCAUAGUCCGCUGGGACCACUCGAGGUCCUAAAGGGUCACUUCUCUUGUCUUCCAGAACCGCUGUGAAGCUACAGAAGCGAAGUAGCUCUCCAGGGCACUGAAAAGCAUCAAAAGAUGUUCUUCCCCAGUGUGCACAUUGGGUCUCACUUGUGAUAUCAACAGUACUGAUGUUUAAGAAAAGCCUGCGAUUGGUGGUGGGAGUAAGGAGCCUUGCUCACACUUACAGCCUGAUGUAUCUGUUCCAGUUUUGUUUUUCAUGGCUCUAGAGAAGUGGGUCCCCCUUAUUUGGGGUCCUGGUAUGUAUGGCAGCUGCAAGAGGUGACACAUGGGAUUAAACAGAAUAAUUAGGUACUUAAUCAUUUAUUCAUCUGUGAAAGUUCUAAGCUUAGAGUUAUUGUGUAAAACCAUUCUUUUGGAAAUAGCUUCAGUGUUGUGUGUGCAUAUGAUAAACAUAUGCAAACAUUUAGCCAUAUUCACAUACAGGUUGGACAUCUCUAAUCUGAACAUGUAACAUUAAGAGAAAAAAAAGCUUCAACUCCCGAAAGGUUUUGAACGGCAACAAAAUUAGACAAGUGGAAGAUUUAAUAACUGACCUCAUAUGGGUCAAUGAAACUUUGUUUCAUGUACAAAAUUAUUAAAAUACUGUACAAAAUUACCUACAAAUAAUGUGUGUGUAUAUCUAUAUAUUCAUAUAAACACAAAUGGAUUUUGAGUUAAAACUCAUAUUCCAUACAUAAGCUAUGUCAUUAUAAGUAGUCCAAAAUCUGAAAAAAGUUCAAAAUCCAAAAACUGUCUCCUCUUUCUUCUUCUUCUUCUUCUUCUUCUUCUUCUUCUUCUUCUUCUUCUUCUUCUUCUUCUUCUUCUUCUUCUUCUUCUUCUUCUUCGUGUUUGUUUGUUUGUUUUUCGAGACAGGGUUUCUCUGUAUAGCCCUGGCUGUCCUGGAAGUCACUUUGUAGACCAGACUGGCCUUGAACUCAGAAAUCUGCCUGCCUCUGCCUCCCGAGUGCUGGGAUUAAAGGCGUGCACCACCACGCCCGGCAAAACUGUCUCUUCUUAAGCUUUUGGAUAAAGAGAGUCUUAAACUGUAUAGAUUUCUAGAUUUUAACACAGUAGCUACUAGCCUAUUCCACACGUAUUUCUUGUAUUCAGCUCUUAUCCUAACUCUGUGAAAGUAUUACUAUCAUGGUAUGUAGCAAACGUGGAAGGACUGACUAGUAUACAAGAAAGACCCAAAGUAUCUGAUGAAUGACCACUGGACACUUUAUAGUAUUUAUGAAUGGAUGGAACCAACUUUCAGUUCAUCCCAACCACACCAGUUAGCACUUCAAGUCAUUUGUGGGACAUAUCCAUCAUUGCAAGGGUCCUGUUGGUCAGCACUGGAGACCCUAGGUCAAGUUAGUUCACCAGUGAUACUAUGUGUCCUCUUAUGUACAGAGUGGUGUUCCUAUGCUCGAGAGAAUGCUGAGCAGCCAGCAGUCACUGGUCACGGUAGUGCCAUUCCCAAACGGGAACAAUCAGAAACAUUUCCAGACAAUGCGCAUUGAUUGUUGGGAAAGGAAAAAGAAUUUCCCCUAGUUGAGAAUGAAUGCUCUGUUCUCAACCUAGUGGUUGUAAUCUGACAGAGGACUCAUGUAAGUAGCUUUAAAUACUUUGAACUGAAAUUUCCUCACUGAAAAAAUAUAACACACAAUUUCUUGGUGUUUUGUGACUGUUAAAAACUCUGAUAAUUUGCCAGAGAGGGAAAGUACAGUAAAGAUUAGAACACAGCCCUUUGUCUCUAGCUGAAGAACUCUGCUUUGGCUAAUAUGGCAAGUGGAAGCUUUGAGACAACAAGCUCUGUUGUCUCCUCACUUGCUCCGUGACUUUAGGCCCCCAUGUUUAAAUAACUCAAGGACUGAGAAAAUGACGUUUCAUUAAUUGUUUAGAUAUCAAACUCUGGGGAUUUGGAAUCCUUAAAAGAUUCUAUAUGAAAAAAAUCACAUGGAAAUCUAGUGCUAGAAAAGCUUCCUAAAAAUACAAACACACACACACACACACACACACACACACACACACACACACACACACACACGACCUGCAAAUCUGGAACUAGCUGUUUGCCACCCCAGGGCCCGCUUACUAUAUGUGUACAGUAUGGGACACUUAGCUGCUGCCUGAGAGCUCCUCCAUUCUAGUCAUCAGCCCAGUCAUGAAUGUUUCAUUCUGCACACUAAUCUACAUAGAUUUUUUUUAAAAUAGAAGGCAAUUAACCAAAAGUUUCUAGACAAACAUCAUUUUUCUAGGUUUCUUGUUCAUCAAAAAAAAAAUCUUAAUUAUUUUGAAAAAGGAAGCUGCCAUUAUGAAUCAAUCGAACCAUCCUAACACCAAUAAGCCCAAGCUAAGAAUGAUGUCAAAAAUGGUCUCAAAGGAAGAACUCUCUAAAUUAGUGCUAUUGGAGGGAAAGACAAUUGAAAAUUAAUAAAAUACUUUAAUUAAAAUAUGAGUUACAGAUACGUGUGUCGAUGGGUGAAUGAAGCAUGAGGACAGCUGGCGAUGUCACACCGUGCAGGGCUUGUCUAGCAUGCAUAAGACGUUGGGUUUGAUCUCCAGCAUCACAAAUAACUGGAGGUGAAGAUGUAGAAGUCUCAGCUCCUUCAAUGCUAUGUCUGCCAAGAUGCUGCCACACUCCCUUCUUGAUGAUAAUGGACUGAACCUCUGAACCUGAUAUGAAACAUAGUAGACGUGUAAUAAAUGACCGUCCCCUGAGAUGCUCUAGGAUGCUCCAAAAAGGACCUAUUGGGAAACAAAGGCUGGGCAACCUCAGUUGUCUGAGAAGAGCAGGAGGACUGAAUCUGGCAAGAGGCAGGCACAAUGAAAUCAGUGUCAGAAGAUACAUUCAUGUCGAGAACUUCAGGAGCAUGGAAAGAGAGGAAGUAUGUGAGGGACUUGGAGCAUAGCAUGGCAAAGUUGGCAAAGGACCGUCUGUUUCCUCAUCUGCACAAGAUUUGUAGACUAUUUGUUUUAAUUAUCUUAUAGAUAAAUAUGGAUGAAAAAAUUCAACAUAGAUGGGAUUUUCUAUAACAAAGAACACCCCAGUUGUCUUUGGAUGUGAAUGCUGAUCUUAAUUUAAUAAAAGCUAAAUCAGGCCAUGCUGGAAGUUCUAAUGCAAGGAUAUAUCUUCAUUUAAACUGGCUCACCCAGAGGUGGGACAGAGUCAAUAACACACCAGGAACCUGUUUGGAAGUACUAAGUGGUGGUUGCAUGAAAAGGGAAGGAGGAUCAACCACUAACACCUACAUGGACAGAGCCCCACCAACUUUAAGAAUCAGGAAGAAACUGGGUGUGGUGGCACACGCCUUUAAUCCCAGCACUCAGGAGGCAGAGGCAGAGGCAGGCGGAUUUCUGAGUUCGAGGCCAGCCUGUUCUACAAAGGACGAGAAACUACAGCAUUACUUCUGCAGAUUCACAAAGGAGUCCACGUUCCAAGAUGAGAGAAAUACCAGAAGCCGAUGGCUAUUCUACUUGACUGAAUGAAAAGAAAAGGAAGGCACUUCCUGUCAAUCCUGCUUUGGAUUCCUAGACAGUUUAAGAAGCACCAUUGAUCUGAUCAUUGGCACUGAGGAGGAAAUGCCCAUCCGCAGAAGACAUGCAGGGCUCAACCCAGCUUGACAUGGGCAGAUUCUGUUGCCUACUUUCUACCUUGACGUCAUUUGGAGUAACAGCAGCCCAUGUUGUGAUAAUGGAGACAAUGAGUGCAUGGGAAAUUAUCAACUAACAAACACAGUACACAGAAAGGAGCUCUGGAGACCAGGGAGCACCCAAGCCAAUCCUGGAAACCGGAUUGGGCAGUUUCUGUAUCUGGUGGAGUGGGCAGAAGACAGCAGCCCCAGGGCUUGAGCCUCCCUUCACAGUGGGUACCUGGCACAGGCAGACAACAAGCAGUGAGUGGGCCAGCAGAAUGGAACGGCUUGGUCAGCACAGGCGCUUUCAUCAGAUGAAGUGGGGUCACCUUUUACACUCCUGUUAACUCCUUGGGUGGAAUUACCCAACGGGAUGAAAAUUGGAUGGAGUUAUGGCGGGACACUCUUACUGGACACUGAAACCAUCCUGCAGCAAAUUGCUUCUGUGAAAUCUUUCUGCUGUUUGGGAGGUAUCCUUCUAUAGCACAGAAACGGAAACUUCAGCCAGAAGAGAGGAAUUCAGUGACUCCAUGCCAACAGAAACAGAGCUCUGCAUUUGUUUCCUGAGCCUACUUGCACUUGGAAGGUUUCUUUCCUCACAAGAAACAUGUGUUACAGGAUAUAAAAGUGGCUUUCCGUUUGGGGUUAGAACCCGAAACAGAAAGACAACAGAGAAAAAUUUCAGCUCAGCCUUUCUAGAUUGGAAAUGAUGCAUGAAUGUUGUUGUUUCUCCAAGACUUCAGCACAGGUAUAACAUGGUGCUAAUUUAAUCACCCGGUGAAUCACCUUUUCUCUGUGAGAUGUUAACACUGAUGUAAGAUGUUUCCAUGUGAGGAACGGGAAAGACUUGAGACACAAAAAAGCUUCAAGGAUUGGUAAAUAGAAUAAUGUGGUCUGUACCCCACUAAUUUUUCUUGCCAUCCAUGAGAGGCCCGAUGGGCUGCAGCAAUGCAUCAUUUAGAUCGCCCCUUCAGCUGGUUCAUGGAAAACUAACAAAAAUUGAUGUUGUU